AAACGUCUCAGUUCGGAUUGUAGUCUGCAACUCGACUACAUGAAGCUGGAAUCGCUAGUAAUCGCGAAUCAGAAUGUCGCGGUGAAUACGUUCCCGGGUCUUGUACACACCGCCCGUCACACCAUGGGAGUCAGCAACGCCCGAAGCCGGUGACCCAACCGAAAGGAGGGAGCCGUCGAAGGUGGGGCCGAUAACUGGGGUGAAGUCGUAACAAGGUAGC
rnacentral:rRNA from 1 species